GUUUGUUUGUUUGUUUGUUUAAAUGCUCUCCUCUUCUUCAUACAGAAUCUCAUUAUGUUGCCCAAGCUGAGGAUCCUUCUGUGUCACCCUUCCCAGUGCUCUCAUUAUAGAGAUGUGCCAUAAUUAUUCUCAGAAAAUAAAGAUAGAAGCAAAUCAAGAGUUACUUAAAUAGGUUAAAUUUUCUAUAAUUUUUUUUAACAUGAUAGAGUCAUAUCUUAUAUUUUUGUAUAUACCCUUGCUGGAAAAAAUACAAUUAGUGUUUUUAUAAGUGGUAUAAUUUUCUUUUAUCUUUUUUCUUUCUUUUCUCAUUCUUUCUUUUGGGGGGGUGAGGUGGGGGAUAAGGUCUCUAUCCUGACUGGCUUUGAUCUCACAGAGAUCUGUUUGUCCCUGCCUCUCCAGGGCUAAGAUUAAAGGCAUGUACCACCAUGCCUAGCUCAAUAAGUGGUAUAAUUUUCAUAUUAAUUUAUUUAUUGCAUUGGUAGAUAUUUGGACAUCAGAGAUGAGCAAGGUAUAUUCUGUUCUCAAGGAGGUCAGAUUUAUAGUUGGAGAGAUAAUAUUAAGUAUUCACUAGAGCAAGAUAGGGCCUAGUAGAGGAUCUCAGGCCUUCUGUGGUGAGGUUGAGGGAAGAAUAGGUAGGCAGUUAGGAGUCAUUGUGUAGGCUUACAUAAUCCUCUUCAGAAGAAUUCUGUUCAAAGUUUCUUGGGCUGGUCAUGGACACACCUGCAGUGCCAGCACUUGAAAGGCAGAGGCAGGUGAAUACAGUUAAGUCUUAGGGUGGAUUGGAAAGGCAGGAAUAACAGUUGUAGGAAAUCUGAUUAAAACCAAAUGAGCUUGUCAUCUUAUGAUGUACCAUAUAAAUAAUUUUUGUCUUUGUUAUGUUGUGGUCACAAGCAGCUCCCAGAUGUCAGUAGUUAUUAAACAUGGUUUGUUUUUUGCAUAUGCUGAUGUCUUUAGUGUAGUUUUGUUCCAGGAUUCAGGCUGGAGAUAAGUCUAUGAUUUGAGGCUUUCUUAUUGUGCCAGAAGGAAAUGAGGCAUGGUAGAAUCUACACAGUGUUUCUCUGAAAGCUGUUCAGAAGUGAGCUAUGCAUUUCCUCCCCUCUUUCCUUUCUUCUUCCUCUCCCUCUCUUCUUUCACUUUCCUUUAUCUGAUUAUUUUUUGAGACGGGGGCCUUGUUACAAAGGUUUGGCUCCUUAUAUAACCCAGGAUGGGCUUGAACUUUUUUUGUUUUUUUUUUUUGUUUUUGUUUUUUUGAGACAGGGUUUCUCUGUGUAGCCCUGACUGUCCUGGAACUCACACUGUAGACCAGGCUGGCCUCGAACUCAGCAAUCUGCCUGUCUCUGCCUCCCAAGUGCUGGGAUUAAAGGUGUGCGCCACCACGCCUGGCUCUUUUUUUUUUUUUUUAAAGAUUUAUUUUAUUUUACUUGUACACAAUAGCUGUCUUCAGACACACCAGUCUUUGUUCAUUGUGAAUAGGAAUAAGAAAGGGAAAACAGAAAGAAAUACUCAGAAAUCUACAGUUGUCUACCAUUUGAGUGGGUGGUGAGUUGAUCAAUACAGGAGGUAUCAAUAAUAGAAGAUAGCUUAAUUUAAUUAUGUUGAACUUGAGGUGUUUGUGGGACAUCUAAAUAGAGGGGACUAGUAAGGAAACUGGAUAAGCUGGCAUAAAGUUCACAGGAUAUAGAAAGUAUUAAUAAAAUGCUCGAGUAGUAGGACUGGGAAUUACAGCCCCAAACAGAGGUACCUUUGCUUCUUGAGUGCUGGGAUUAAAGGCAUGGACCACUGUGUCUGGCUGUGUAUUCUAUAUUUUUAAAGUUUAUGGUGUUUAUACCUAUCUUACCUGAUAAUUUUAUUUGGUUCUUAAUUUAUAUUUAUGUCUUUUUUUCAUUUAAUACACACAUAUAGCACAUAUCAACAAAAUACAGUAUUUAGUUUUUGAAAUGAACAUUAAAAGGUAUUUUUGUUUAUAUUUGUUGUUCAUUGUUGUAUGACAUGGCUUGUGUGUACCGCUUCCUGCCUGUGGAGGUCAGGGGACAACUUUUUGAGAGUUACUUCCUUUCCAUUGUAGAUUCUGGAAAUUGAACUUUAGUCACUGGGUUUGUGUCAAGCCUUUUUCACUGCUGAGCCAUCUUGCUGUCUCCCCCGAGUUAAUUUCACUUCCCAUUUUCCCUCUUUGUUUCUGCAGGGAACCCACGGUCUAGGCGAGCCCUGGACCACGAGCUCCUCCUUUUUUCUUUUCUGAGUAAUAUUCAGUGCUGAUGGGAAGUCCUGAGUUAAAGGGUUUUAUAAUUAUCCAGUCAGACUUAUAUUUUACAUUACUUGGUAGAAGGUCAAACGUUUACUGAAAAAUAAGUUAAGGGACAUAAGAGACUAUUAGGUGUAUUUUAAUACUUUGGUUUGCAGUUCCUUCAACCCUCCUCAUUGUAAAACCUGAUCUGCCUAAGCGAUUCUGCCUUCUUAUCUAUGAGUUGUUAGAACUACUUUUGCCUGUCCACCCCUUCCAUUUAGUUACUAGGGAACAAAGCUGUUAUGGCAGGAUGGUCAAGCACUAUCUAUUCCUUCAGUUAGAAUCGGAGUAAAAGAAACCCUUAGAUCUCUGGGCCCUCUAUCCCAUCUUAGAUAAAAGGCAGAGAAAAAUUGUUUAUAGUCAAGUUUCCUUUUUUUUGUGCCCCUCCUUAUUAAAUACUUAUCAUUUGAUAAAAGGGUGAAUAGUUAAGAUUUUUAGGCAGAUGCCAGAUAAAUAUAAUAAACAUUAUUUUAAAUCUCAUAAAUGAACUUAGAAAAAGGUAAAGAAAAAAAUCUUAGAGAAAAAUGGACGCGAGUGAGCUGGGGAUGGAUGUAACUCAGUGGAGUAACACUUGUCUACAGUAUACAAAGGCUUAGGUCCAUGAAUGCCCAACACUGGAGGAGAAAAGGGACUGAAAGCUACUCAUGGUUGUCCUCCCAAGAGGCCCAACAAGCAGCUGACUGAGACAGAUGUACAUACUUAUACCCAACCAAUGGACAGAAGUUGGGGACCCCUGUGGUUGAAUUAGGGAAAGGCUGGAAGAAGCUGAUGAGGAGGAUGACCCUAUAGGAAGACCAGCAGUCUCUACUAAUCCAGACCCCAGAGAUCUCUCAGACACUGAGCCACCAACCAGGUAGCACACAUACCAGCUGGUCUGAGGCCCCCUACAUAUCUACAGCAGAGGACUGCUGGGUGCAAGAUGUGCUAACCCUUGACAGACAUAGGGCCCCAGGGAGUGGGGAGGCCCGGCGGAAGGGGUAGGGUUGGGGAGACAUCCCCUUAGAGACGAGGGAGGGGGCAUGGGAUGAGAAACUGGAAGGGCAGACUGGGAGGGAGGUAACGACUGGACUGU
rnacentral:lncRNA from 1 species